rnacentral:rRNA from 1 species
AGAGUUUGAUCCUGGCUCAGAAUCAACGCUGGCGGCGUGCCUAACACAUGCAAGUCGAACGCGAAAGCCUCGCAGGGGGUGAGUAGAGUGGCAAACGGGUGAGUAACACGUGGGUGACCUGCCUUCGAGUGGGGGAUAACGUCCCGAAAGGGACGCUAAUACCGCACGACAUCCUGCCUUUGGAAAGGCGGAGAUCAAAGCUGGGGAUCGCAAGACCUGGCGCUUGACGAGGGGCCCGCGCCUGAUUAGCUAGUUGGGGGGGUAAUGGCUCACCAAGGCGACGAUCAGUAUCCGGCCUGAGAGGGCGGACGGACACACUGGGACUGAGACACGGCCCAUACUCCUACGGGAGGCAGCAGUGGGGAAUUGUUCGCAAUGGGCGCAAGCCUGACGACGCAACGCCGCGUGGAGGACAAAUAUCUUCGGGUCGUAAACUCCUGUCGAGCGGGAAGAACGCUCCGCGGUUGAAUACGCCGCGGAAUUGACGGUACCGCUAAAGGAAGCCCCGGCUAACUCCGUGCCAGCAGCCGCGGUAAUACGGGGGGGGCAAGCGUUGUUCGGUAUUACUGGGCGUAAAGGGCUCGUACGCGGCCAACUAAGUCAGAUGUGAAAUCCCCAGGCUCAACCUGGGAACUGCAUCUGAUACUGAUGGCUUGAAUCCCGGGAGAGGGAUGCAUAUUCCAGGUGUA